rnacentral:rRNA from 1 species
AUACGGAGGAUGCGAGCGUUAUCCGGAUUUAUUGGGUUUAAAGGGAGCGUAGGCGGGAGCUUAAGUCAGCGGUUAAAUGGUGCGGCUCAACCGUGCCCUGCCGUUGAAACUGGGUUUCUUGAGAGUGCAAGAGGCGGAUGGAAUUCAUGGUGUAGCGGUGAAAUGCUUAGAUAUCAUGAAGAACUCCGAUUGCGAAGGCAGUCCGCUGGGGCACGUCUGACGCUGAUGCUCGAAGGUGCGGGAAUCAAACAGGAUUAGAUACCCUGGUAGUCCGCACGGUAAACGAUGAUUACCCGCUGUCGGCGGCAGACAGUCGGCGGCCAAGCGAAAGCGAUAAGUAAUCCACCUGGGGAGUACGCCGGCAACGGUGGAACUCAAAUGAAUUGACGGGG